UAGGGGGUCUACUAGGAGAACAGGGGGUUGAAAGAGGGGGUCUCCAAGGAGAACAAGGGGUUGAAAGAGGGGGUCUCCAAGGAGAACAGGGGGAUGAAAUAGGGGGUCUCCUAGGAGAACAAGGGCUUGAAAGAGGGGGUCUCCUAGGAGAACAGGGGGUUGAAAGAGGGGGUCUACUAGGAGAACAGGGGGGUGAAAUAGGGGGUCUCCUAGGAGAACAGGAGGUUGAAAGAGGGGGUCUCCUAGGAGAACAGGAGGGUGAAAGAGGGGGUCUACUAGGAGAACAGGAGGGUGAAAGAGGGGGUCUACUAGGAGAACAGGGGGUUGAAAGAGGGGGUCUACUAGGAGAACAGGGGGUUGAAAGAGGGGGUCUACUAGGAGAACAGGGGGUUGAAAGAGGGGGUCUACUAGGUGAACCUGUCUUUGUUCAGAAUGCAGUUCUUCAUAAAAAAGAAAAAAAA